rnacentral:rRNA from 1 species
AGUGAACGCUGGCGGUAGGCCUAACACAUGCAAGUCGAACGGCAGCACAGUAAGAGCUUGCUCUUACGGGUGGCGAGUGGCGGACGGGUGAGGAAUACAUCGGAAUCUACUUUUUCGUGGGGGAUAACGUAGGGAGACUUACGCUCAUACAGCAUACGAUCUACGGGUGAAAGCAGGGGAACUUCGGACCUUGCGCGAUUGAAUGAGCCGCUGUUGGAUUAGCUAGUUGGGCGGGUAAAGGCCCACCCAGUCGACGAUCGGUAGCUGGUCUGGGAGGAUGGUCAGCCACAUGGGAACGUAGACACGGUCCAGACUCCUACGGUAGGCAGCAGUGGGGAAUAUGGGACAAUGGGGGCAAGCCUGAUCCAGCCAUACCGCGUGGGUGAAGAAGGCCUUCGGGUUGUAAAGCCCUUUUGUUGGGAAAGAAAAGCAGCAGGUUAAUACCCCGCUGUUCUGACGGUACCCAAAGAAUAAGCACCGGCUAACUUCGUG